rnacentral:rRNA from 1 species
UACGUAGGGGGCAAGCGUUGUCCGGAAUCAUUGGGCGUAAAGCGCGUGUAGGCGGCUCGGUAAGUCUGCUGUGAAAGUCCAGGGCUCAACCCUGGGAUGCCGGUGGAUACUGUCGAGCUCGAGUCCGGAAGAGGCGAGUGGAAUUCCCGGUGUAGCGGUGAAAUGCGCAGAUAUCAGGAGGAACACCAAUGGCGAAGGCAGCUCGCUGGGACGUGACUGACGCUGAGACGCGAAAGCGUGGGGAGCAAACAGG